rnacentral:lncRNA from 1 species
AGAUGAGACUUUUGACUUUGAAAUUUUCAAAAUGGCUGCCGUUGCCAUGGAAACAGCAGAAAUGUGAAAUUUUUAAAAAUGCUCUGAAUGUACUGAAAAUUUACAGAAAAAUGUAUUGCCAUGCAUAUAUGUGCAUUCACUGUUAAACAUUUUUGAAAUGGCUGCCGCUUAGUGGCAAUUGGGGGAAGGGUGACAUCCGCUAUUGCUUGCAAUGGCAAUUCUAGUUAUUUUUAUUCUUCCACACUUUUUUGUCCAUUCUAUUUCUCGGAAUUGGCUUGAACAAUAUUGAUGGAACUAUACCAUAAUGUAGACCACCACAUUCUAUAGUGCAGUGGGGUAUGGCACCAUCAAGAUGGCUGCCGUUGCCAUGGAAACGAAACAAAUGUGAAAAAAUCCUGUUUUUUGUUUUGGUGAACUGUUUUGAUAUGCUUAAACUCAGAACCAUUAUAUUUUGAUACAAUGUAGGUGCCGGCCAUAUACAGGUGUUGGAUGAUUUUGGCACUCAUUGGAACUACUAUGUUGCCAUGGAAACUACACCAAAAAUUUCAAAAAUAUCAAAAUGCUCCAAACUUCAUGAAACUUCACAGUAACGAUGAGCAACAUUGGAAGAUGUGGAAUUUGGCGUUGGAAUUUCCAAAAUAUCUGUUGUUACCAUGGAAACAAUGCAAAAAGGUCAAAAAUUUCAAAAAAAAAUAAAAAUGCUGUAAACUGGAUGAAACUUUACAGGAAUGGUCACUGGCAUAAGCAAAGUUGACAUUUGAAGUUGGAAUUUUCAAAAUGGCCGCCGUAACCAUGGAAACAGCAAAAAUGUCAAAAACUUCAAAAUGCUCCAAACUUAAUGAAACUUAACAAAUAUGAUAAUUUGAAUGUGUAGAUGCACACUUUGACUUUGGAAUUUUCUAGAUGGCUGCCGCUCGCCUGGCAAUGGGGAAGGGUGCCAUCCGCUAUUGCUUGCAAUGGCAAAUCUAGUUAUGGCACCCUCAACGGAUGUUGGGGUGACAUAUUGUUAUUCUACGUUUCUUUUUUUUCUUAUUAUGGCACCCUCAACGGAGUUGGGGUGACAUAUUGUUAUUGUUCGUUUAUCAUUAUUAUUAUGUCACACCCGAUCGACAAUGUCGGGUGACAUAUUGCUUUUCCUCCGUUUCUUUGUUAUUAUUAUUCU